AAAGGAAAGAAAAAAAAGACGGUCAGCGAUGAGAGGCGAGAAAUUAAGGGGUGAAGGCCGGUGAGAAGCGAUGGGUCUCCACCGGGCAUCCCUCUCGCCAUAUCCGCCGGCGGCGAGCGGAUCCGGUGGUGGAGAGAGCUUGUGGCGCUAGCAGGAUCCAGUCGAGCUCAAGGAGAAGGAGAAGAGAUGGUGACCCCUCCCAGCGACAGCGAGAAGCGGGCCUGACUCGCGAGAAAUUUGGAAUGCCUGGUGAUCAUAUUAGUUUGGAGGAGGUCGCGGAGUAUGAAAAUGUGAUAACCAAGGAGUUUAGAAGGAUAGAAAUUCUAUAAUGAUUUUCCUUUUGAGGAUAUAUUCUUGAAAACUAGAUGUAUUGAUACUUUAGAGUUAAAAAAAGUGAGACUUCUUGUGAUUUUGUAAUUGGGAAUAAAAACAGAUGUAUUAACUGUGUAAGUUCCCCAUGCACUUUUCGUUUUAUCUGACUCAGUGCCAUGUUACUCUUUGAUUCACUGAACUAAUUAGAGACCUCCUUUUUAGGGCCAAUUUUAGGAUAAACUAGGACCAACUGCAGUAUUGUUCAACUUGGGCUCAUAUAUUUGACAUGUGAUGGAUUUUAAAUUCAACAUUUUCUGAAAAUUAUCACACAGUCUAACUGCAUCAUAUAUUUCCUAUGCCUGCAGCAGAUGACCAGUUGAUAUUGCCAUUUCUGAAUUCAUUAUCGCCAGAGAGAUCAGUUGAUGUUGAGAAUCUCAAUAAGAAGAAGAAAUGAAGUGUUUUGCUUUGGUUUCGAAUUCGUCGCAGUUUCUGUGAUCCAAACUUUUAGUGUUACAGAAGGCAUGGAAGUGCAUGAAAGUACCGGUACUGAAAAUUGCAUUGGUAGUUUGGUACCGUAGAAGAAAUAAAAGGGCAAGGUAGUUUAAAUGUAAUAAGAUCACAAUUCUGACAGUACUGAAUAUUGCACUGCUAGCUUAUAAUUUGCCCCCUUCAGUUCAUUGCACUGUAUUUUCAGAAUCCAUGGAAUUCGAAUUUCAGUGCUCUGAA